ensembl:lncRNA
UCACCGACUGGCAUAUGGAGAAGUUUCUAAGAGCUCUGCAUACAAUUUUUCACAAUGUGCCAGCAAGAAGGGAGGAUUUCUGUAAUCUCACAAAGUCCAAAAUCUUCGCUUUGCCUUUUUGUGCUCAUCGCUGGGUCGAGAACCUCCCUGUGGCGGAGAGGGCCCUUGUCAUCUGGCCAGACAUGAUGAAGUAUGUUGAGGCUGUUAGCACCAAAAAGCUUCCUAACCCUGGGACGUCCUCCUAUGAUACCAUUGCGGCGGCAACCAAAGACCCUCUCAUUCUGGCAAAGCUUCAUUUUUUCCAUGGCAGUGUGUCGAAGUGUAACACCUUUCCUCACCAGAUACCAGACUCAUGAGCCUGUGCUGCCUUUCAUUGGUAAUGACUUGGCUGAACUGCUGAAGGUGAGGUGAAUCUUCUCAUUUUAUUGUCAUAGUGAUUUUAAAAUCUCCUCUCGUUCACAGUUACGCUAAGACUACAGCUAAGACUGAAUGAAUUGAAAAUGCAAAUAUUUUGAAUAGUCAGAUAAAUUAGGCUCAUUUAAUAAUACUGAAGAAAAGAAACAUUGUAAAGUCAGAGUGCUUAUUUUGUAUUGUAAAAUAUUUGUAUUCUCAAAUAUGUAUAUUUUUGUCUUUUCAUAGAGUUUGCUGAGGCGAUUCAUCAAACAAGAACUUCUCAAUGAUGCCACACCUCAGCAUUUGGUCCGGCUUGAUGUUAGUGACAUGCAGUCCAGGGUUCAUCUAAGAGCUGUUGAUAUUGGCAUUGGAGCUGAGGCUGCAAUAAAGAUAUUUUGGAAAUACAUAAUGUGUGACCAGACUGCUCCUGGUGUCCCUGUUGUUAGACCCGUCUACUCAGCCCUUCACUGGAUAGAAGGAAAGAGGAGGGAGAGGAAGCUAUUUACUUAAUUUAGUCCCCAUUCAUCCUUAGGAACGUCAGCAGCAGAGUAGAUCCACUGAGGAGCUUUCUGUCCUCCAGUUGAGAAAGGAAUGCAUGGAGGGUCUGUCCAAAAUUGUGAAGAAGAUUCAAGAGAAGAGCCCUUUGAAAUUCCCAACUGUAAGGCAAAUGACUUGUCUUAACCCAGCUGUGAUGUAUUCAAAUCCAGAAUUGUGUCAGGGCCAGAUGAAGUGUCUAGUCAAAAGGUUUCUUCAAGACAAGCAGUUAGAUGGGGUUGCUACAGGUGAUCUGAUCAUUCAGCAAUUUUCACAAUUGUUGUCCCUGGAGGUGAGGAAUGAGAAGUUUCUGUCUUUCAAGCCCCUCGAGAAGAGGCUGGAUGUGUUUCUCCAUCCUUAUAUAAGUCAGCCCUACCCACAGCUCUGGGCUUUCAUCAGAAACCUUCUGCUCCUCUCCCAUGGGCAGGCUACGGUGGAGAGGGGCUUCUCUAUCAAUAAACAAGUAGAAACUUGUAAUAUCCAAGAGGACACUGUCAUUGCACAAAGAGUUGUGUGCGAUUACGUGUCCAUGCAUGGGGGUGUUACCAAGGUGCCCCUCACACCAGAGCUCCUGUCUUCAGUCACAUCAGCAAGAGUGAGUUACAGGAUGCAACCUGAACGAAAGAAAAAAGAAUCUCAAGCACAUAGUCAAAGAAGAAUAAUGAUUGAAGAGGAGUUGGAGCAGCUAAAAAAGACAAGACAGAACAUCCAGGAAGUUGCGGAGCAUCUCAGGAGGGAUGCAGACAAGAUGGCAGAGGAGGCUGAGGACAAACAAGGCAGCAAAAUGGCAGAGCUAAUUGCCAAGUCAAAUGCGUUGAGAAGAAGCUACAAGCAGA